UCCGCAAUAGCUCAGCUGGUAGAGCGCAUGACUGUUAAUCAUGAUGUCGUAGGUUCGAGCCCUACUUGUGGAG
rnacentral:tRNA from 2 species